rnacentral:rRNA from 1 species
UAAAGAGGUCCCAAGCGUUGUUCGGAUUCAUUGGGCGUAAAGGGUGCGUAGGCGGCGCGGUAAGUCGGGUGUGAAAUCUCGGAGCUUAACUCCGAAGCUGCAUUCGAUACUGCCGUGCUUGAGGACUGGAGAGGAGACUGGAAUUUACGGUGUAGCGGUGAAAUGCGUAGAUAUCGUAAGGAAGACCAGUGGCGAAGGCGGGUCUCUGGACAGUUCCUGACGCUGAGGCACGAAGGCCAGGGGAGCAAACGGG